rnacentral:rRNA from 1 species
CCUACGGGAGGCAGCAGUGGGGAAUCUUGCGCAAUGGGCGAAAGCCUGACCCAGCCAUGCCGCGUGAAUGAUGAAGGUCUUAGGAUUGUAAAAUUCUUUCACCGGGGACGAUAAUGACGGUACCCGGAGAAGAAGCCCCGGCUAACUUCGUGCCAGCAGCCGCGGUAAU